rnacentral:rRNA from 1 species
GAUUAACGCUAGCGGCAGGCAUAAUACAUGCAAGUUGAACGGCAGCACAGGUAGCAAUACUGGGUGGCGAGUGGCGCACGGGUGCGUAACACGUAUGCAACCUACCCUAUACAGGCGAAUAACCUUUAGAAAUGAGGGCUAAUACGCCGUAGUAUUACAGAUGGGCAUCUAUUUGUAAUUAAAGAUUUAUCGGUAUAGGAUGGGCAUGCGUCCCAUUAGUUAGUUGGUAAGGUAACGGCUUACCAAGACGAUGAUGGGUAGGGGAUCUGAGAGGACUUACCCCCACACGGGUACUGAGACACGGACCAGACUCCUACGGGAGGCAGCAGUAAGGAAGAUUGGGCAAUGGCCGCGAGGCUGACCCAGCCAUGCCGCGUGCAGGAAGACGGCCUUAUGGGUUGUAAACUGCUUUUAUACGGGAAUAAUAGAGUGUACGCGUACAUUUAUGCAAGUAUCGUAUGAAUAAGCAUCGGCUAACUCCGUG